rnacentral:rRNA from 1 species
AUGGCCGCCACCUCCCUCGCCGCCGCUUCGCACUGCCACCGCCACCACAUCCUCCUCCCCGCUCGCCCCAGCCCCGGCUGCUUCAACCUCAGAACCCCCAACCGAGGACGAAUCUGCCCCGCCUUCCCGUCCGUUCUCUGCUCCUCCUCUUCCUCUGCUUCUCACCAGCCCACCGCCGGCGACGAGGAGGAGGCGGAGGAUGGGGAGGAGGGGCACGGGAGGAGGCUUUCGAAGCAGUCCUCGUGGGAGGCCACGGAUGGUCAGGGCGACGACUACCUCUACCGCCUCGGGAAGGAGGCCGACAACAUGAACAUCGCCGUCGGUGCCCGCAGUGGCAUCGUGGACGACCUCUUCGUCGGCAAAUUCCUCGGAAGAGACUCGGAUAUCGUGUUCGAUUACCGCCAGAAGGCGACGAGGAAAUUUGAGUAUCUGCAGGGAGAUUACUACAUCGCGCCUGCCUUCCUCGAUAAAGUUGCGGUCCACAUUGUAAAGAACUUCCUUGCAAAUAAUCUUAAUAUCAAGAUUCCCCUUAUACUUGGUGUCUGGGGUGGCAAGGGGCAAGGGAAAACAUUCCAGACUGAACUUAUAUUUAAAGCAAUGGGUGUUGAGCCUGUUAUUAUGUCUGCUGGAGAACUCGAAUCCGAGAGAGCAGGUGAACCUGGAAGACUUAUACGUGACCGAUACAGAACGGCCUCUCAAGUAGUUCAAAACCAAGGGAAAAUGAGCUGUUUGAUGAUCAAUGACCUAGAUGCUGGUCUUGGAAGAUUUGGACACACACAAAUGACGGUCAAUAAUCAAAUCGUGGUUGGAACAUUGAUGAACUUGGCAGAUAAUCCUAACAGGGUUAGUAUCGGGCAGAAAUGGAGAGAAUCUGAUAUAACACAUAGAAUUCCAAUAAUAGCAACUGGAAAUGAUUUUUCAACACUAUAUGCUCCUUUGAUUCGUGAUGGGAGGAUGGAAAAGUUCUACUGGCAGCCCACCCGUGAAGAUAUAAUUAACAUUGUUCACCGUAUGUAUACAAAGGAUGGGUUAUCUUUUGAGGAAGUUUCAAGCAUUGUAGAUACAUUUCCAAAUCAAGCUCUCGACUUUUAUGGAGCUUUGAGAUCCAGGACAUAUGACCAGGCUAUCUUGCAGUGGGUAAAUGACAUUGGUGGUUAUGAGCAACUAGGUGAAAAGCUUCUCAAGCGGAAGAACAGAGAGAAGCUUCCAACAUUUAUCCCUCCGAAGCCAACACUGGAUGCAUUGAUUCAGUCAGGGAACUCUCUGGUAGAAGAGCAGGCAUUCGUAAUGAAUUCGAACUUGUCAAAAGAAUAUAUGAAGAACUUAGAUGACUAG